AGAGUUUGAUCAUGGCUCAGAACGAACGUUGGCGGCGUGGAUUAGGCAUGCAAGUCGAACGAGCCUCGGGGGGCAACCCCCGAGGAAAGUGGCGAAAGGGGCAGUAAGGCGUGGGUAACCUACCCCGGGGCUCGGAAUAGCCUCCCUAACGGGAGGGUAACACCGAACGCCCUGACCAGGGGGCCUCCCCCGGUCAGGAAAGCUCCGGCACCCCGGGAGGGGCUCACGUGGUAUUAGCUUGUUGGCGGGGUAACGGCCCACCAAGGCCGAGAUGCCUAGCGGGUGUGAGAGCACGACCCGCGCCACUGGCACUGGGACACUGGCCAGACUCCUACGGGAGGCGGCAGUCGAGGAUCUUCGGCAAUGGGCGCAAGCCUGACCGAGCGACGCCGCGUGGGCGAUGAAGGCCUUCGGGUUGUAAAGCCCUGUCGUGAAGGGGGAAAACCGAACCCCUUCAGGAGGAAGCACGGGCUAAGUUCGUGCCAGCAGCCGCGGUAAUAC
rnacentral:rRNA from 1 species